rnacentral:rRNA from 1 species
CCUACGGGUGGCAGCAGUGAGGAAUAUUGGUCAAUGGACGAGAGUCUGAACCAGCCAAGUAGCGUGAAGGAUGACUGCCCUAUGGGUUGUCAACUUCUUUUAUAAAGGAAUAAAACGAGGCACGUGUGCCUUUUUGCAUGUACUUUAUGAAUAAGGAUCGGCUAACUCCCUGCCAGCAGCCGCUGUAAUACGGAGGAUCCUAGCGUUAUCCGGAUUUAUUGGGUUUAAAGGGUGCGCAGGCGGAGGCACAAGUCAGCGGUAAAAUCGCGGGGCUCAACCCCGCUCCGCCGUUGAACCUGUUUCCCUUGAGUGCGCGAAGGGUAGGCGGAAGGCGUGGUGUAGCGGUGAAAUGCAUAGAUAUCACGCAGAACUCCGAUCGCAAAGGCAGCCUACCGGCGCGCAACUGACGCUCAUGCACGAAAGCGUGGGUAUCGAACAGGAUUAGAUACCCUUGUAGUC